CCAGACUCCUACGGGAGGCAGCAGUCGGGAAUAUUGCGCAAUGGAGGAAACUCUGACGCAGUGACGCCGCGUAUAGGAAGAAGUUUUUCGGAAUGUAAACUAUUGUCGUUAGGGAAGAGAAAGGACAGUACCUAAGGAGGAAGCUCCGGCUAACUACGUGCCAGCAGCCGCGGUAAUACGUAGGUGGCAAGCGUUAUCCGGAUUUACUGGGUGUAAAGGGCGUGUAGGCGGGACUGCAAGUCAGAUGUGAAAACCACGGGCUCAACCUGUGGCCUGCAUUUGAAACUGUAGUUCUUGAGUACUGGAGAGGCAGACGGAAUUCCUAGUGUAGCGGUGAAAUGCGUAGAUAUUAGGAGGAACACCAGUGGCGAAGGCGGUCUGCUGGACAGCAACUGACGCUGAGGCGCGAAAGCGUGGGGAGCAAACAGGAUUAGAUACCCGCGUA
rnacentral:rRNA from 1 species